rnacentral:rRNA from 1 species
UGGGGAAUUUUGCGCAAUGGGGGAAACCCUGACGCAGCAACGCCGCGUGGAGGAUGAAGUCCCUUGGGACGUAAACUCCUUUCGACCGGGACGAUAAUGACGGUACCGGUGGAAGAAGCCCCGGCUAACUUCGUGCCAGCAGCCGCGGUAAUACGAGGGGGGCGAGCGUUGUUCGGAAUUAUUGGGCGUAAAGGGCGCGUAGGCGGUGCGGUAAGUCACCUGUGAAACCUCUGGGCUCAACUCAGAGCCUGCAGGCGAAACUGCCGUGCUGGAGUGUGGGAGAGGUGCGUGGAAUUCCCGGUGUAGCGGCGAAAUGCGUAGAUAUCGGGAGGAACACCUGUGGCGAAAGCGGCGCACUGGACCACAACUGACGCUGAGGCGCGAAAGCUAGGGGAGCAAACAGGAUUAGAUACCCUGGUAGUCCUAGCCCUAAACUAUGGAUGCUUGGUGUGUCGGGUACCCAAUCCCGACGUGCCGAAGCUAACGCGAUAAGCAUCCCG